UGGGGAAUAUUGCACAAUGGGCGAAAGCCUGAUGCAGCAACGCCGCGUGAGGGACGACGGCCUUCGGGUUGUAAACCUCUUUUAGCAAGGAAGAAGCGAAAGUGACGGUACUUGCAGAAAAACGCGCCGGCUAACUACGUGCCAGCAGCCGCGGUAAUACGUAGGGCGCAAGCGUUAUCCGGAAUUAUUGGGCGUAAAGAGCUCGUAGGCGGUUUGUCGCGUCUGCUGUGAAAACCCGAGGCUCAACCUCGGGCCUGCAGUGGGUACGGGCAGACUAGAGUGCGGUAGGGGAGAUUGGAACUCCUGGUGUAGCGGUGGAAUGCGCAGAUAUCAGGAAGAACACCGAUGGCGAAGGCAGAUCUC
rnacentral:rRNA from 1 species